rnacentral:lncRNA from 1 species
CUCUGUUAAGCUGCUGCUGAAAUGGGGCAGAAGUGAGCCUCCAGAGUUGUCCUGAUCUCUCUCCCUCUCUUCAGUUUUCCACAAAGCUCAAGAUAUUCUAUGGCUGGAGAAUAUGGGAAACAGUCAAGACUGAAUUUUUCCAGAUACUUGCAGAAAUAAGUUCUGAUGUCAUCUCAGAGCUUUUCUCAGGUAACUGAAGUCAUGCCUAUGAACCUUCCUUGUCAUGGUCCCAGUGAUGGAGAGCCAGUCAGCGCAAUGCCUGUAAAUGCCAGAAGGACAUAUGGAUAGUUCUGUGGGAAACAAUCACCUUUUCUCUGGUUGGUCUUUGAAGGUGCUUUCCUGUGAAU